rnacentral:rRNA from 1 species
GAUGAACGCUAGCGGCAGGCCUAACACAUGCAAGUCGAGGGGUAGAACACUUCGGUGUUUGAGACCGGCGCACGGGUGCGUAACGCGUAUGCAAUCUACCUUGUACAGGGGAAUAGCCCAGAGAAAUUUGGAUUAAUGCCCCAUAGUAUAUAACCUUCGCAUGUUGGUUAUAUUAAAGUUCCAACGGUACAAGAUGAGCAUGCGUCCCAUUAGUUAGUUGGUAAGGUAACGGCUUACCACGACGAUGAUGGGUAGGGGUCCUGAGAGGGAGAUCCCCCACACUGGUACUGAGACACGGACCAGACUCCUACGGGAGGCAGCAGUGGGGAAUAUUGGUCAAUGGGCGCAAGCCUGAACCAGCCAUGCCGCGUGCAGGAAGACGGUCCUAUGGAUUGUAAACUGCUUUUAUACAGGAAGAAACCCUCCCACGUGUGGGAGAUUGACGGUACUGUAGGAAUAAGGAUUGGCUAACUCCGUGCCAGCAGCCGCAGUAAAAC